rnacentral:rRNA from 1 species
GACGAACGCUGGCGGCGUGCCUAACACAUGCAAGUCGAACGGAAAGGCCCUUCGGGGUUCUCGAGUGGCGAACGGGUGAGCAACACGUGGGUGAUCUGCCCCGCACUUUGGGAUAAGCCUGGGAAACUGGGUCUAAUACCGAAUAGGACCAUGCGCUUUAUGCUGUGUGGUUGUAAGCUUUUGCGGUGUGGGUUGGGUCCGCGGCCUAUCAGCUUGUUGGUGGGGUAAUGGCCUACCAAGUCGACGACGGGCAUCCGACCUGAGCGCGUGACCAGUCUCACUAGGCCUAAGAGACGGCCCAGAAGGCUACGGGAUGCAGAAGGCGGGAGUCUUGCACAAUGAACGCGAGUCUGGUGCUGGGUCGCCAGGUGAGGAAUAACGGCCUUCGAGUUGUAAACCUCUUUGGUUGGGGACGAGGCGUAAGUGACGGUACCUAGACAGAAAGCACCGGCGAACUACGUG